AUGAAUGUCGCAGCCUGCCGUCUCAAGGCAGCUGAGAUGGACACUCACCCUCUGGUGCGCUGCCGCCGGCCGCCAGCCUCCAACUCCAGCAGCUCGGGGAGGGCGUCCCUCAGGGGCUGCAGGUCCCCCACCACCACCGUGGCCUUCCGCCGCUGCUGCGCCCUGCGCUCCUGCUCCGCCAGCUUUAGGGCCUCGAUUUCUGAGGAAGGAGGACAAGCGGUGGGCGAAAGAAGUGAAGACCAAGUGACAGCGAGUGCAGGGCCCCUGGAGGCAAGCAGGAGGUCAGCCGCGAGGGUGCCAGCCACAAGGCUCCCGACGCCGAGCCCUCGAGCUUCCUUCUGGGGGGCGCAGGCCUGCUCUUCCUUACCUGCCAGCACCCACACCCUGGCCUGGAAACCUGGGGGCGGGCAGGUCAGAGCUAUCUUUCCCCUCAACCACAGAGGUGCACUUUGUAUGACAGGGCUGAUGAGACUGGAGCUGCAGGACAGAGGAAUCUGUCUCCCACAAAAGGACGCGGGCAGGGUGGCCUGGGUACACAGGGUGGGAGGUGGGAGGGGAGCGCGCAGGCACAGAGCAGGCCCUGACCGAAACGGGGAGUCACUCGGCGGGAGGACCACGCUCCUGUUUCCCAGGCCUCCUGGGGAUGCACUGCACACAGGAGGGGACAUGGUCCCCCAGGGGGAGGAGCUGACAGGGCAGUGGGUGCGAGGCCAGAUCCCGAACACGGAAAUCAGCAAGAGGCCGGUCCACAGCGAGAGGGGACAGGAGCCUCGGGGUCUCAGAGGAGGCUCCCGCACAGGGGGCCAGCCUGUGAGGAGGGGACAGGCAGCGACGGCGGCAGACCCAUGGCAGGGGAGGGUGGGGAGGGCAACCAGGGCAGCUAGGCAGAGCGGGCACAGAAGAACUGGAAAGGGUUUGGGCAGAGCCUGGACACGGGCACGGUCUUGGGAUUUCAUUUUCACUAAAAAAAUUAUUUACUUCAAACUGCUAAUGAAACACAUACUCUAA
rnacentral:lncRNA from 1 species